rnacentral:rRNA from 1 species
GUGAGGAAUAUUGGACAAUGGGCGCAAGCCUGAUCCAGCCAUGCCGCGUGCAGGAAGACGCAUCUAUGGUAUGUAAACUGCUUUUGUACGGGAAGAAACACUCCCUCGUGAGGGAGCUUGACGGUACCGUAAGAAUAAGGAUCGGCUAACUCCGUGCCAGCAGCCGCGGUAAUACGGAGGAUCCAAGCGUUAUCCGGAAUCAUUGGGUUUAAAGGGUCCGUAGGCGGUUUAAUAAGUCAGUGGUGAAAGCCCAUCGCUCAACGAUGGAACGGCCAUUGAUACUGUUAGACUUGAAUUACAAGGAAGUAACUAGAAUAUGUAGUGUAGCGGUGAAAUGCUUAGAUAUUACAUGGAAUACCAAUUGCGAAGGCAGGUUACUACUUGUGGAUUGACGCUGAUGGACGAAAGCGUGGGGAGCGAACAGGAUUAGAUACCCUUGUAGUCC